UCUGGACAAAGAGGGGCCUUGGGAACCGGGCCUAAGUAGCUGCCGACUGAGUAGCCACAGAAGCGGAGGUGCCAGGAUGGUGGCCACCCCAGACCCAGGAACUUCCCGGGGGUGAAGGGCUUGAGUGACCACAGACACGUGGACCUCCCAGACCUGUGGCAUGGCCCCCCAGGGCCAGCAGGGGAAAUCCAGACCCACCCAGAGGGAAGCAGUUGCUGCAGAUGCUCAUAUUUGCUUGUAAAUGCAUCACGAAGAGGCAACCCAGAAUGAAGAAAGCAAGCAGGAGUGUUGGCUCAGUGCCUAAAGUGUCUGGGAUAAGCAAAACGCAAACAGUAGAAAAAACGAAACCUGAAAACAGCUCUUCAGCAUCUACAGGAGGCAAACUUGUAAAACCUGGAACAGCAGCAUCGUUGUCAAAGACCAAGAGCAGUGAUGACCUCUUAGCUGGAAUGGCUGGAGGGGUGACAGUGACUAAUGGUGUUAAAGGAAAGAAAAGCACCUGCCCUUCCACAGCAUCUUCAGCAUCGGCCCCUGCCAUGACCACCGUGGAGAACAAAUCCAAGAUCAGCACAGGCACAAGUUCAUCCAAGCGGAGCACUUCCAUAGGUAAUAAAGAAUCCGGUUCUACUAGAGAAAGAUUACGUGAACGUACCCGACUAAGCCAGAGCAAAAAACUACCUUCUGCGGGUCAGGGAGCUAAUGACGUGGCAUUGGCCAAGCGUUCCCGCAGCCGCACGGCUACAGAAUGUGACGUUCGCAUGAGCAAGUCUAAGUCAGACAAUCAGAUCAGUGACAAAGCUGCUUUGGAAGCCAAAGUGAAAGAUCUUCUCACAUUGGCAAAAACCAAGGAUGUGGAAAUCUUACAUUUGAGAAAUGAACUCCGAGACAUGCGUGCUCAGCUGGGCAUUAAUGAGGAUCAUUCCGAGGGUGAUGAAAAAUCUGAGGAGAAGGAAGCCAUCAUUGCUCACCAGCCAACUGACGUCGAGUCCACUUUACUGCAGUUGCAGGAACAGAAUACUGCCAUCCGGGAAGAACUCAACCAGCUAAAAAACGAAAACAGAAUGUUAAAGGACAGGUUGAACGCGCUGGGCUUUUCUCUAGAGCAGAGGUUAGACAAUUCCGAAAAACUGUUUGGUUAUCAGUCCCUGAGCCCAGAAAUCACCCCUGGCAACCAGAGUGAUGGAGGAGGUACCCUGACCUCUUCGGUGGAAGGCUCUGCCCCUGGUUCUGUGGAGGAUCUCUUGAGCCAGGAUGAAAACACUCUCAUGGACCAUCAGCACAGUAACUCUAUGGACAACCUAGACAGUGAGUGCAGUGAGGUGUACCAGCCCCUCACGUCGAGCGAUGAUGCCCUGGACGCACCAUCGUCCUCAGAGUCCGAAGGCGUUCCGAGCAUAGAGCGCUCCCGGAAGGGGAGCAGUGGCAACGCGAGUGAAGUGUCCGUUGCUUGCUUGACAGAACGGAUACAUCAGAUGGAAGAGAACCAACACAGCACAAGUGAGGAACUUCAGGCGACUCUGCAAGAGCUAGCUGAUUUACAGCAGAUAACCCAGGAACUGAACAGUGAAAAUGAAAGGCUGGGGGAAGAGAAGGUUAUUCUUAUGGAGUCUUUAUGUCAGCAGAGUGAUAAGUUGGAACACUUUAGCCGACAGAUUGAAUAUUUCCGCUCCCUUCUCGAUGAGCAUCACAUUUCUUAUGUCAUAGACGAGGAUGUGAAAAGCGGACGCUAUAUGGAAUUGGAGCAACGUUAUAUGGACCUAGCAGAAAAUGCCCGUUUUGAACGAGAGCAGCUUCUCGGUGUCCAGCAGCAUUUAAGCAAUACUUUGAAGAUGGCAGAGCAAGACAACAAGGAAGCUCAAGAAAUGAUAGGGGCGCUCAAAGAACGCAAUCACCAUAUGGAGCGAAUUAUUGAGUCUGAGCAGAAGGGUAAAGCAGCCUUGGCAGCCACAUUAGAGGAGUACAAAGCCACAGUGGCCAGUGAUCAGAUAGAGAUGAACCGCCUGAAGGCUCAGCUGGAGAAUGAAAAGCAGAAAGUGGCGGAGCUGUAUUCCAUCCAUAACUCUGGAGACAAAUCUGAUAUUCAGGAUCUCCUGGAGAGUGUCAGGCUGGACAAAGAAAAAGCAGAGACUCUGGCUAGUAGCCUGCAGGAAGACCUAGCUCACACCCGAAAUGAUGUCAAUCGAUUGCAGGACACCAUUGCAAAGGUAGAAGAUGAAUACCGAGCCUUCCAAGAAGAAGCUAAGAAACAAAUAGAAGAAUUGAAUAUGACAUUAGAGAAACUAAGAUCGGAGCUAGAAGAAAAAGAGACAGAGAGGAGCGACAUGAAAGAAACCAUCUUUGAACUUGAAGAUGAAGUAGAACAACACCGAGCCGUGAAACUUCAUGACAACCUCAUUAUUUCUGAUUUAGAGAAUACGGUUAAAAAACUCCAGGAUCAAAAACAUGACAUGGAAAGAGAAAUCAAGACACUCCACAGGAGACUUCGGGAAGAAUCUGCGGAGUGGCGGCAGUUUCAGGCUGAUCUCCAGACUGCUGUGGUCAUUGCCAAUGAUAUUAAAUCUGAAGCCCAAGAGGAGAUUGGCGAUCUGAAGCGUCGGUUACAUGAGGCUCAAGAAAAAAAUGAGAAACUCACCAAAGAAUUGGAGGAAAUAAAGUCACGCAAGCAAGAGGAGGAGCGAGGCCGGGUGUACAACUACAUGAAUGCUGUGGAGAGAGACUUGGCAGCCUUAAGGCAAGGGAUGGGACUGAGUAGAAGGUCCUCAACUUCCUCCGAGCCAACCCCUACGGUGAAAACCCUCAUCAAGUCCUUUGACAGUGCAUCGCAAGUACCAAACCCCACUGCAGCCGCGAUUCCUCGCACACCUUUGAGUCCAAGUCCUAUGAAAACUCCUCCUGCCGCAGCUGUCUCGCCUAUGCAGAGACAUUCCAUAAGUGGACCAAUCUCUACAUCCAAACCCCUGACAGCGCUGUCAGAUAAGAGACCAAACUAUGGAGAGAUCCCUGUUCAAGAGCAUCUAUUAAGAACAUCUUCAACCAGCCGACCUGCUUCUCUGCCGAGAGUACCUGCCAUGGAAAGUGCCAAGACCAUCUCAGUGUCUCGACGAAGUAGUGAAGAGAUGAAACGAGACAUCUCUGCACCUGAGGGAGCGUCGCCGGCCUCUCUUAUGGCUAUGGGAACCACGUCUCCACAGCUUUCCCUGUCCUCCUCUCCCACGGCAUCUGUUACCCCCACCACCCGAAGUCGGAUAAGGGAAGAAAGGAAGGACCCUCUGUCAGCAUUGGCGAGAGAAUAUGGAGGUUCAAAGAGGAAUGCCUUGCUGAAGUGGUGUCAGAAGAAAACAGAAGGCUACCAGGUCUGCCUCUGCCAGUACCGCACUAUGUUCAUCGCUGGAGCUGUGCAAAUAUUGACAUUACAAACUUCAGCAGCAGCUGGAAUGACGGACUGGCCUUUUGCGCUCUCCUGCAUACGUACCUUCCGGCCCACAUUCCGUAUCAAGAGCUGAACAGCCAAGAUAAGCGAAGGAACUUCACCCUGGCCUUCCAGGCGGCCGAGAGCGUUGGCAUCAAAUCCACACUGGACAUUAAUGAGAUGGUGCGGACUGAGCGGCCUGAUUGGCAGAGCGUGAUGCUCUACGUGACCGCAAUCUACAAGUACUUCGAAACCUGAGCACACCGGAAGGACUCUCCCCGUUACCAAGUGACACCAGCGCCAUUAGCUACGCACCCCGUAAAGCUUUCAGCGACUCUCUGGGCCGCCCUGCAGCGUGUGAGCCUUCAGCCGGGGCUUCUGAGUCAGGAGAACUCGGGCCUCCAUGGCCCCCGGCUCGCGGCCGGCUCCGCGCACACGACCCGUCCGGCCAAGGUCGGCGUGGGCUCCACGCACGGCGCACACGCUGUUUGCUGCCAGAGUUUUUUCUGAAGAGAAUAUUGAACUGCAUUAGUGCCGUGGGGUGUAAAAACCAGCUCAUGCGCAGCUCAAGUCGGGGAAGGGGCUGAAACUCUGGGGGCAGCUCAUGGGGGGUUAGUGAAAGCUUCAGCCACAGUGCUUUUUGACUACUCGCCGGUGCGGCUUCUGGCACCCGUGAGAACCAGGCCGGGGACUCGGUGCCUGACAGAGGUGCCUGGAGAGCAGGCUGUGGCCCUGGAUGUGGAGGGCCAUGGAGUGCAUCACCAUGGCAGUGGGGCGGCCACUGAUUGCACGUGGCAGGGCUGGCCUGGCCUGCGUGAUUUAGGUGUUUACAACUUGAGCUAACAGAUGAUCGUGACUCGAGGUUCCGGCUGGUGGCGCCCGCCGCUGCUGAAGGGUUGGUUUUGCGCCUGGGCCCCCGUCGAGCAGAGGCAGCCCCCUGGCCUCGCCGCUGCCAACCUGUCCUUUAGCCUGGAAGGGGCUUGGGAACCCAGCUCUGACUUUAGGUUUCUGGACAAAAGAAUUGGUCAAAAGGAGUUCUAGUUAAAAAAAAUUUUUUUUCCUUAAGAGCAAUAUUGGGGGAAGAUACCUCCUGUUGUGUUAGUACCAAAGUUAAAUUGUCUUAGUAAACAUAGAGAUAAAACACAAAAUCUGGACGCGAGCAUGGUGAAAGCCAGAAAUGAAGUCAGAAGUAGCAGGAGAAAAAGCCGAACAGCUGGAGGGAGCCCAGCCGGGUAAUUUAAAGUCACUGAGUCACUCAGAUGAAAUCCUCCUGGGCAAGAAUUUAAGGAAGUGCCUUCAGUCUCCUUGCACGGGUACACCGGAGAGAGGGUCUUGGAGGCCGCUGUGACCACAGCCAGAGCAGAUGGUGUCAGGGCUGGUGGCCUGCAGCCCCAUGAUGGAGUUGGUCCCUUGCCACGCACGCCAAAUGACAGGCAGCCGCACCAGCACCCCUUCCAUGCGGUGGAAUCGAAGCCUUAUGAGGGGUUCUGUUGAGGCGACUCUCAGGCUGGGACCCAGCCCUUCUUGGAAAUAGGGAUCCCACAUCUCAUGCACCUAACACAGUAGCUGUUGGUUUGAACAGUGUCGAGACCUGUUGCUUCUAGAAUACAACUGUGUUUGGUGCCUGCAAAGUAGCACGAGGAAGAGUUGCCACCAGUGGGAGCAGGAUUGCUGCCCCAGCCACAGGAUGCGAAGAAGGCUGCCCAGCCAGCACGUGGGCCCGGGGGUUCUGCGUUCAUGCGUGAUGUUCUAGACUAGGAGUAUGACGUGUCUGUAGCCUAGGAAAGAACGUGGUUAUUGUGCAGUGGGCUGUGUGUGUGUGUGUGUGUGUGUGUGUGGCCUGCUGGCCCACGGUCACCAGCUGGCUGGUAAGUGCCCGUCAACCCUGCCCAGAUGCCCUAACCUGGCAGCCCUGGCUGCCGCCCCAGCUGGAGGCUUUUUGUGAAAUGCCUGUUUUCAGCUAAGGAAGGUGAGGCUCAGUGAGCAGAAUCCAGCCCCAGAGCGCACCAGAAGACCCUGGCGGUUACCUGUCCCCAUCCUCCCUGACCAGGUUCCAUUCUGGCUUCUGUUGUUCUGUGGACAGGUGCCCUGUGCUGUCAGAUGAGGGACUGUUAGGUGAGAAUUACACUUUUUUAAAUGUCUCUCCACUCGGUCUUCCUGAGUCCCACUUUCGCUCUCAUUUGCCCUCAUGGAAGCCUGUGCUCUUGUCUGGACCCAGUGUGUCUGACUGUGGCCAUGUUUUUAUUUAUUAUGGUUGGGGGGUGCUUUUUUGUCCGAUGAAGACGACUUUCCUGGGUCGGCAGUUCACACAUUGGUCCCUUCCUAGCCAAGUGAGCCAGCUGUGGCAGCUCAUGCUGGGGGGCCUGGGGCUGUGCCCACAAGGCUGUCAUUGGGGUCAGUGACUGGAAGGGGUGGCCGCAGGAAGUGCCGGGACCAGGCCCAGCCUGUUUAAGGGCCCAUCUCUGCCUCCCUGACAGAGGCUGUGCAGGGGUGCCCAGCCGGGCCGCCUACAUUUGCAUGUGGGUCCACAGGCGAGAAGAUUCUAGAAGCAUGACUUUUCUUUUUCUAAUAGGAUCUUUUUAUAACACUGUUGGCUUUAUGGGUUAAUUCUAGGUGGUCAUAUAUACCUAAAAGUGCUACUGUGAGGUGCUUUUGGUCCAGUGACCCUUGACGUGAAGCCUCCAGGAAGUCAUUUUGCCUCUUCUCCCUUCAAGCACAAGCUUUCCUGCAAAAGGGCCAGUUACAUUUCUGUGUCUCUCAACCACGGGCUUCUGCUGACUGACAGUACUUUUUUAAAAAUUUUGUUCUAUUAAAUAUUCUCGAAUGUAUUAAAAUUGCUGAAAUGCA